rnacentral:rRNA from 1 species
CGGUGGGUGGAGUGGUGCGUUUGGUUACUUCUGUUAACGAAUGAGACCGGAGCUAAAUCUAAAUCCCAGAGACCGGAAAAG